rnacentral:tRNA from 2 species
GCCGGCGUAGCUCAAUUGGUAGAGCAACUGACUUGUAAUCAGUAGGUCGCGGGUUCGAGUCCCAUCGCCGGCUCCA